AGUGUCUUGUUUGCAGUCGGCGCGUUAAGGGAACUGUGUUGCUCCGCAGGCGCGAGGCUGGGUACAGGGUCUAUUGUCUGUGGUUGACUCCGUACUUUGGUCUGAGGCCUUCGGGAGCUUUCCCGGGGCAGUUAGCAGAAGCCGCAGCGGCCGCCUCCGCCCGUCUCCGCUGUCCCCGGGCCCGGGAGGGACCAACUUCGCGUCACGCCCCUCAGCGGUCGCCACUCUCUUCUCUGUCGUUGGGUCCGCAUCGUAUUCCCGGAAUCAGACGGUGCCCCAUAGAUGGCCAGCUUUCCCCCGAGGGUCAACGAGAAAGAGAUCGAUCACGUACUAUAGGUGAACUUUUAGCUCCUGCAGCUCCUUUUGACAAGAAAUGUGGUCGUGAAAAUUGGACUGUUGCUUUCGCUCCAGAUGGUUCAUACUUUGCUUGGUCACAAGGACAUCGCACAGUAAAGCUUGUUCCGUGGUCCCAGUGCCUUCA
rnacentral:sRNA from 1 species